CUGUCACUCAAGAUGUCGGACAACAAGAAUUUCUAUCCUGAUGUUUGUGCUGAUCAGCGAAUCGAACACGAGCAAACGUCCUCAGCCGAGGAAGUCUGCUCAUCACAGUGGGGGAAGGUUUGAAGAGAUGCUUCGCAAUAAAAACCUCGUCUGCUCUUCAAGUCUGUUCUUCCCACCAGAGAUCUGAGCAGUGGAGGCGAGGAAGACCAAUGUCAAAACAUUUGACAAAAUGGAACAUCC